rnacentral:lncRNA from 1 species
UAUGAAUGUUCAAGUUACUGCAUUGUACUUCACGACAAUGUUAAUUGACUGAUGUUGUACUCCUUGGAGGAGUAAAUUCAUGAGCUAAAGAACCUUUAGCUGUCUAGAAAAGGGUGGCCAGAUCCUGUUUUGUUUUGAAAACAGAGAAUUCGAUCGGAACAUAAAUUUAUUUGUUAUGUGUAGCCAACAUGCUUCUUACAUCAACGAUACGCAAUCAACAACCGAAAACAAAAUACCUAGGAAGACCUAUUGCUUUUAAGAGUGUGAUCGGUUGAGAGAUUUUUUCUUGAUUUAGUUCAGCUUGAGACAUGAUAGGUUUUAAAAAAAUUCUAAUCAUUUGGUAUUUACUCUGCUCAUAAAAUCAACUUUAUCUACCACUCAAACAUUGCUAUUGAAUGUGAAGAUAAUUGUAAGCAAGGCCAAUUCAUAUUGAAGGGAUAGAUACUUUUGUGGGUUUAGAUACUCGUACAUAAAACAAGAUCGUCGUGAAUGCGGAGGGAAAAAUCUAAAAGAUUUUUUUAACAGUCACAGAAUAAUUAGGACAAUUGACCUGCUCUUUGUAGCCUCUCUCUGGUGUGACCACCACAGGGUAAAGGCAUGCUUUUGCCAUAAUUUGUAAACUACAGGAAUGGACAUUCUAAUCUAUUCCUGUGUACUUUUUACUGACAUAUUCAUUAAUACUCCUUUUUUAUUUGCUCGAGUUAUGCACAGUCCAGGAUAUUGCUUAAUAGUUUGGAUAGUUUUGUCUCAAUGUAAAAAUUGUCAGAGUUGGUGUACUGGACUUGAUCAUAUUUUGUAUACAGAAAAACCAUUUCUUUUGAGAAAUGACAAUAGAAUGGAUGAUUAGACUUGUCUUUUGAAUUUCAUGAUUUUGUCUCAUAUACUAUGAGCACCCUGAACAAUUUUUUUAUAACCUCGAAAUUUAAAGGGAAAGUAAGUCUUGAUGCUGCCUUUUCUUCUAAUCUGGAAUAUUAUGCCAGUCAUCUGAUCUGUGAGUCUGUGACAAUUGAUAACCACCCUCGUCUUUUAGACUACUUGACUGAUACAAAUAUCUCGGUGGAAAGAGAAGUCAUGAGCAACAAUGAUAAGAUAUUUUCCAUCAUCAUUUUCAUAUUUUCGUAUCUGUAAAUUUUUCUCUGGAUGUAGGAGUUAAAAUAAAUUGCUAUCUCAAGUUGAUAUACCAAUUCUUUUGCACAGAUGUUGUUGGAUCAGCAAUUGGCUUCCUGGUGUUCGCCCUGAUCCUCUCUUCAUGGUCUGUUACCUUUAUGAUUGGCGGGAACCAACUUUUCGGCCCAGUGUGGGAUAAAUUGGUUAUGUACAAUGUUGCCGAUAGAUAUGGUUUAACUGAAUUGAUGUAGAUCUACAUGUUAGUGGUUUCAGUUCCAUAAUCGACAUGAAUAUGGUAUGUCUUUGCUUUUGCUGAUAUGAAUGUUCAAGUUACUGCAUUGUACUUCACGACAAUGUUAAUUGACUGAUGUUGUACUCCUUGGAGGAGUAAAUUCAUGAGCUAAAGAACCUUUAGCUGUCUAGAAAAGGGUGGCCAGAUCCUGUUUUGUUUUGAAAACAGAGAAUUCGAUCGGAACAUAAAUUUAUUUGUUAUGUGAUUUUAAUUGGAUCAUCAAGAUUAAUUCAGAACCCAGAAAUUCUAAAUUGUGUAUGGACAUACUCCUUAGGCAAACGCAGACAGGAUAGCCAUUUUCUUUUGUGUUUUAGUAGGUUUUUCUUUUGAAUCAAUAGGAACUAAAGAAAAUCAAUGAAGAACUUUACGUGGGAUUUCCUUACCAUAUGACUGGAUUUUGUCAUGUAUUCGACG